rnacentral:rRNA from 1 species
UACGAAGGGGGCUAGCGUUGUUCGGAAUCACUGGGCGUAAAGCGCACGUAGGCGGACUCUUAAGUCGGGGGUGAAAUCCUGGAGCUCAACUCCAGAACUGCCUUCGAUACUGGGAGUCUUCGAGUUCGGGAGAGGUGAGUGGAACUGCGAGUGUAGAGGUGAAAUUCGUAGAUAUUCGCAAGAACACCAGUGGCGAAGGCGGCUCACUGGCCCGAUACUGACGCUGAGGUGCGAAAGCGUGGGGAGCGAACAGG